ensembl:lncRNA novel transcript
GUUCAUGCGGGAGAUGGCAGGGGCUGGCACAUGACAGUGGAGCAGAAAUUUGGCCUGUUUUCUGCUGAGAUAAAGGAAGCAGACCCCCUGGCUGCCUCGGAAGCAAGUCAACCCAAACCCUGUCCCCCCGAAGUGACCCCCCACUACAUCUGGAUCGACUUCCUGGUGCAGCGGUUUGAGAUCGCCAAGUACUGCAGCUCUGACCAAGUGGAGAUCUUCUCCAGCCUGCUGCAGCGCUCCAUGUCCCUGAACAUCGGCAGGGCCAAGGGGAGCAUGAACCGGCACGUGGCGGCCAUCGGGCCCCGCUUCAAGCUGCUGACCCUGGGGCUGUCCCUCCUGCAUGCCGAUGUGGUUCCAAAUGCAACCAUCCGCAAUGUGCUUCGCGAGAAGAUCUACUCCACUGCCUUUGACUACUUCAGCUGUCCCCCAAAGUUUCCUACUCAAGGAGAGAAGCGGCUGCGUGAAGACAUAAGCAUCAUGAUUAAAUUUUGGACCGCCAUGUUCUCAGAUAAGAAGUACCUGACCGCCAGCCAGCUUGUUCCCCCAGCUGACAUCGGCGACCUCCUGGAGCAGUUAGUAGAGGAGAACACAGGCUCCUUGUCGGGCCCAGCGAAGGACUUUUACCAGCGGGGGUUUGAUUUCUUUAACAAGAUCACCAACGUGUCGGCUGUCAUCAAGCCCUACCCUAAAGGCGACGAGAGAAAGAAGGCUUGUCUGUCGGCCCUGUCUGAAGUGACGGUGCAGCCAGGCUGCUCCCUGCCCAGCAACCCCGAAGCCAUUGUGCUGGACGUCGACUACAAGUCUGGGACCCCGAUGCAGAGUGCUGCAAAAGCCCCAUAUCUGGCCAAGUUCAAGGUGAAGCGAUGUGGAGUUAGUGAACUUGAAAAAGAAGGUCUGCGGUGCCGCUCAGACUCUGAGGAUGAGUGCAGCACGCAGGAGGCCGACGGCCAGAAGAUCUCCUGGCAGGCAGCCAUCUUCAAACUGGGAGACGACUGCCGGCAGGACAUGCUGGCCCUGCAGAUCAUCGACCUCUUCAAGAACAUCUUCCAGCUGGUCGGCCUGGACCUCUUUGUUUUUCCCUACCGCGUGGUGGCCACUGCCCCUGGGUGCGGGGUGAUCGAGUGCAUCCCCGACUGCACCUCCCGGGACCAGCUGGGCCGCCAGACAGACUUCGGCAUGUACGACUACUUCACACGCCAGUACGGGGAUGAGUCCACUCUGGCCUUCCAGCAGGCCCGCUACAACUUCAUCCGAAGCAUGGCCGCCUACAGCCUCCUGCUGUUCCUGCUGCAGAUCAAGGACAGACACAACGGCAACAUUAUGCUGGACAAGAAGGGCCAUAUCAUCCACAUCGGUCAGCCAGCCACAGCGCCACCCUCCUCUCCCUUCACCCCGGCACCCAGGGGUGGAUAGGGAUCCCCACCCCACAGAGAGGAGAAUGCCCAGGACCACCCUGCCAGGAGUGUCAGGGUCCAGCUCUGAGGUCCGAACUGUCGGCCACCAAGCUGUUCUGCUGUAGAGGGUGCCUGGCCCCGGCCCCAGGGAGCUGGGGCGAGAGCCGCCAUUGCUCUGAGUCAGAAGCUGGAGCUGGGCGGAGUGGGGCUGGUCCAGGUUCAGUGCCCCAGCUUGGCUCCUUCCUCCACUUCCUCCCUUCUCUUUCUCUGCCUGCUGCCCCACCACCCACCCCAUCACUGUCUCCAAGAAAACACAACCUGCCUUUUGGGGGUGGAGGGGGUGCUCCUGUUGAAGAGUCCUUUUCCACUCCUCAAAACAGACCACUCGUCCUUGCCCGCCCUGGCUCCUACCCAGUCACAGGCAGCUCUUUGGGGUUUUGCAGACUUUGGCUUCAUGUUUGAAAGCUCGCCGGGCGGCAAUCUCGGCUGGGAACCCGACAUCAAGCUGACGGAUGAGAUGGUGAUGAUCAUGGGGGGCAAGAUGGAGGCCACACCCUUCAAGUGGUUCAUGGAGAUGUGUGUCCAGGCUACCUGGCUGUGCGGCCCUACAUGGAUGUGGUCGUCUCCCUGGUCACUAUCAUGUUGGACACGGGCCUGCCCUGUUUUCGCGGCCAGACAAUCAAGCUCUUGAAGCACAGGUUUAGCCCCAACAUGACUGAGCGCGAGGCUGCAAAUUUCAUCAUGAAGGUCAUCCAGAGCUGCUUCCUCAGCAACAGGAGCCGGACCUACAACAUGAUCCAGUACUAUCAGAAUGACAUCCCCUACUGAGGAGGGGACCUUCGAGGGCCUCUGCCCCAUGUGCCCUUGAAGCUGCCCCACAAUCAUGGAGCCCUGCGACCUACCCGCCCUGCCGCCACAUGCAGUGGAGGAGAGGCCUGUGGCCCGAAGAGCCUGGUAGCGCCUCCUGGGGCAGCACGUGGGUGGCGCAGGCUUAGUAACGCCGUGGACUGCAGCGACAAUCAGUGGAUGGUGCUGUCUAUGCACAGGUGUGAGUCCUCUGUUUGCACUGGACAUAUUCCCUACCUGUUUUAUUUCAUAGGUACAUGAAGUAUUGUGUAUAAAAAAAGAGAUAAGAUUUAACCAACAUCAACAAAAUAAA